UACGUAGGCAGCGAGCGUUGUUCGGAAUUACUGGGCGUAAAGAGUGUGUAGGCGGUGCUCUAAGUUCGGUGUGAAAUCUCCCGGCUUAACUGGGAGGGUGCGCCGGAAACUGGAGUGCUCGAGCGUGGGAGAGGAAAGCGGAAUUCCUGGUGUAGCGGUGAAAUGCGUAGAGUAUCAGGAGGAACACCUGCGGUGUAGACGGCUUUCUGGACCAUUGCUGACGCUGAGACACGAAAGCGUGGGUAGCAACAGG
rnacentral:rRNA from 1 species